rnacentral:lncRNA from 1 species
AUGGAUGUUCAUGCCUAGGAUAUUGCUGCAGGCCUGGAGUGCAGAGCCUCCAUCACUCCCAGUGACACUCCUUAUUAGUGAGCUCAUUAAUCAAGCAGCUCUGCCAUCCUAGGGCUGCAGGGAGUUCUCAUCACACGGGAUGCUGUCAGGGGCUUUGUCAUAUCGAGGCACCUCACACGCAACUCCUGAGCCUCAGCCACCUCUUUCUCAGCACCGAUGGAUGAGUGGCCUCUGGCCAUCGGAGAUAAUCAUCAUCGUAGGAUCAUUCAAGUUGGAAGGGACCCUUAAAGGCCAUCUGGUUCCACUCCCUGCAGUGCACAGGGGCAGCCACAGCUCCAGCAGUGCUCAGAGCCCCGUCCAGCCUGACCUUGGCUGUCUGCAGGGACGGGGCACCACCGCCUCUCUGGAGGAGUGAAGACCAGGACUCCCACGUGUUCUUCUGUUUGGCCUUUCCCAGGGGGUUAUUGGUCAUCAGAAACAAUCCAGCACCAAGCACAGCUGUCCCCAGCACAAUGCCUGCAAGUG